GGCGGCGUAGCUCAGUUGGCUAGAGCACACGGUUCAUACCCGUGGAGUCCGGGGUUCGAAUCCCUGCGCCGCCACCA
rnacentral:tRNA from 1 species